GAUGAAUGCUAGCGACAGGCUUAACACAUGCAAGUCGAGGGGCAGCAUAGAAGUAGCAAUACUUUGGUGGCGACCGGCGCACGGGUGAGUAACGCGUAUGCAACCUACCUAUCAGAGAGGAAUAACCAGGCGAAAGUCGGACUAAUACCGCAUAAAACAGGGGCACCGCAUGGUGAUAUUUGUUAAAGAAUUUCGAUGAUAGAUGGGCAUGCGUUCCAUUAGGUAGUUGGUGAGGUAACGGCUCACCAAGCCGACGAUGGAUAGGGGAACUGAGAGGUUGGUCCCCCACACUGGUACUGAGACACGGACCAGACUCCUACGGGAGGCAGCAGUGAGGAAUAUUGGUCAAUGGGCGGGAGCCUGAACCAGCCAAGUCGCGUGAAGGAAGAAGGAUCUAUGGUUCGUAAACUUCUUUUGCAGGGGAAUAAAGUGCGGGACGUGUCCUGUUUUGUAUGUACCCUGAGAAUAAGGAUCGGCUAACUCCGUGCCAGCCGCCGCGGUAA
rnacentral:rRNA from 1 species